rnacentral:rRNA from 1 species
CCUACGGGGGGCUGCAGUGGGGGAUAUUGCACAAUGGGGGAAACCCUGAUGCAGCGACGCCGCGUGUGGGAAGACGGUCCUCUGGAUUGUAAACCACUGUCCCCAGGGACGAAGAUGACGGUACCUGGGGAGGAAGCUCCGGCUAACUACGUGCCAGCAGCCGCGGUAAUACGUAGGGAGCGAGCGUUGUCCGGAAUUACUGGGUGAAAAGGGAGCGUAGGCGGGGAUGAAAGUUGGGUGUCAAAACUACCGGCUAACCUGGGAGUCGCACUCAAAACUGCAGCUCUUGAGUGAAGUAGAGGCAGGCGGAAUGCCUAGUGUAGCGGUGAAAUGCGUAGAUAUUAGGAGGAACACCAGUGGCGAAGGCGGCCUGCUGGGCUUUUACUGACGCUGAGGCUCGAAAGUGUGGGGAGCAAACAGGAUUAGAUACCCGAGUAGUC